AUCCUACGGGUGGCAGCAGUGGGGAAUAUUGGACAAUGGGCGCAAGCCUGAUCCAGCCAUGCCGCGUGGAUGAUGAAGGCCCUAGGGUUGUAAAGUCCUUUUAACGGGGAAGAUAAUGACGGUACCCGUAGAAUAAGCCCCGGCUAACUUCGUGCCAGCAGCCGCGGUAAUACGAAGGGGGCUAGCGUUGCUCGGAAUCACUGGGCGUAAAGCGAACGUAGGCGGCUUUCUAAGUCAGGGGUGAAAUCCUGGAGCUCAACUCCAGAACUGCCUGUGAUACUGGAAAGCUUGAGUCCGGGAGAGGUGAGUGGAACUGCGAGUGUAGAGGUGAAAUUCGUAGAUAUUCGCAAGAACACCAGUGGCGAAGGCGGCUCACUGGCCCGGUACUGACGCUGAGGUGCGAAAGCGUGGGGAGCAAACAGGAUUAGAUACCCCGGUAGUCCU
rnacentral:rRNA from 1 species